AUGGAGGCGAUUCCCUGUAUCCAACAUGGUUGGGGGGGGGGGAUGGGACAGGGACUGGGCUGGCAAAGGCUCCUCCAGGACGCUUUUGGGGAGGUGAGGUUGGAGGACAAGGCUCUGGGAUGCUCGGAGAGCCGUGGCGAGGAGCCGGCAGGGUGGGGACAGGACCUGGCUUUUUAUCGGUGUUUCAACUCCUUCUCCUCUGUUAAAACAGUGCCAGCCCCCUAUUCCCCGCCGCACUUGCGAAAGCCACCAGUUAUUUCCUCCACUGGGUGCACGGUGGGGGGACCGAGCCCCCCCCCGACCCGUGCACCCCUCCAGCUUUUCCGUGCGCUCCAGAGCUCGGGKAAGCGGGUUCAGUCCUUGGGUGACCCCGUUUUCCCGUCCCCUUUUCCAGAUGCGCCGUUGUCACCCGCGUCCUGGCGGCGGCGGUGCCGGAGGGGCUGCGGUGCCGCAUGUCCAUGGUGCAGCGGGUUAGCUGCACGCGCGCCGGCUCCCCGGCUCGGGGCUGGUCCUCGGCGGCAACGCGGCGCCUGGGUUCGCUUCUCGCUCGCCGGGAAAGGGGCGGAGGGGGCCCGGGGGUGCUCGUCCGUGGUGGGCACCGAGGGGAAGGGCGGCGGGGAAGGGGGCCAGUGCGUUCCCUCGCGCUCGGUCCGGAGAGGUUUGCGGGCUCCCCCGCGGCUGGGAGGCAGGGAGGGGAGGGCAGGUCCCCAUGGUGCGGCGGCAGCUCCCUCCUCCUCCAGAGCGAUGGCGAGAAGCGUGAUACGUCCUCAACGUGUGCAAAAUCGAAGAGAUAAAGAGACUCCAACCGGGGCGGGGGCAGUGGGGCGGAGGGUGGUGGUGGCGGUGGCGGUGGUGGUGGUGGUGGUGGAGGUGGCAGGCGGUGGGACGUUGUCUCUGCUGGGCGGUGAUGCACAGGGAUCUGCAAGUGGGGAGAAGAGGGGUCACCAGCCCUGCUCUGGGCUUGGCCGUGUCUGGCCACCAAGCCGAGCAGCGGCAGGGCUGCUGUUCCCCUUCGGACGGGAAGCUCAUCCCUCCCCAGGAAGGAUGCACCCGUCACCUCCAUCACCUCCUCCCAGGGCCGGACCCUGCUGA
rnacentral:lncRNA from 1 species